rnacentral:lncRNA from 1 species
UUUUGGUCCUGUAAUAACUAUCAGUGAAGCGACUUCUUAGAUAAAUGAAAUGCAUUGUUAAUAUUUUAUUGUUAGCAAAGUUCUAGGCAAAAGAAUGGUAAAUGUACGUCCUUCAGUUGUCCCUCAGUUUGUAAAUAUAUCAGUUGGUAAAUAUUAAUCAGGUUCUGGCAAAAGCUAGAGGGUUCUUUCAAGUACAUAUAGCAAAGAAAACUGCUUCAACAUCAACAAUUGCUAAUCCAACAGCACACAUACAUGAAAGCUUAUAGAUUUUCAUUCCUCGGACUCUUUCCUGAAUUUAAGACUAACUGGUGAAAGAAGAAUAAGCAAAACAGUGAAAGUAACGGCUGAGGUGAGAAUCUGAACUUCACGUUCCCACUUGAAAACAGAAGUAAUGUGAACAAAUAUCUUCCUAUUCUGUGGGGACUGGGAUUUAUGAUAAAAGAAAAACAGGCACUAAGAGCAAUGUGUGCUCCACUAAUAAAAAGGGAACAGUCAGCUAAACCAGUGUUGUGAUGGAAAACAGAGUGGCCUUUGAUAGAUAUAAUUUUCUUGAAGGAAGUCAAACAUCUCCUGUUAUUUUGGGCAUGGACAUGGUGAUGAACAAAUAUCAUGGACAAGACAAGAUGAAAGUCAUACAGCAAGACUGAAG